GAAAUGCGAUACGUAAUGUGACUUGCAUUUAUUUGUGAAUCAUCGAAUCUUUGAACGCAACUUGCACUCUUUGGAUCUACUAAAGAGUAUACUUGUUUGAGUAUCAGAAUCAACUUUACUCCCUUCUUACUAUGUAAGAGAGAGUGCUUGAGACAUCAUUUCUAUGUGUCUUUAAACGAAUGUCAUCAAAAGUGUGGUAAAAGACAGAUGUUCUUUCCCGCUGACUAGAUGUUCUUAGUAUGUUAUGAUUAUUCUAUAUGAUCACAGCAUUCUAUUUUUUUUAUGAUCUCAAAUCAAGUAGGACUACCCGCUGAACUUAA
rnacentral:misc_RNA from 1 species